rnacentral:sRNA from 1 species
UACGAGCAACAAACUUGUCUGUGUUUUC